GAGCGACCCUGCACGUCGCCUGGCUCGGGGACUCCCAGGUCAUUUUGGUACAGCAGGGACAGGUGGUGAAGCUGAUGGAGCCACACAGACCAGAACGGCAGGAUGAGAAGGCGCGCAUUGAAGCAUUGGGUGGCUUUGUGUCUCACAUGGACUGCUGGAGAGUCAACGGGACCCUGGCCGUCUCCAGAGCCAUCGCUAUUCAGAAGGCUGAGGCAGGAGAAUCGCUUGAACCCAGAAGGCGGAGGUUGCAGUGAGCUGAGAUUGCGCCACUCCACUCCAGCCUGGAUAACAAGGAAACUAAAAAAUAAUAAUAAUAAUAAAUAAAAAUUUUAAAAAGUAA
rnacentral:sRNA from 1 species